CAGACCCUCACGAUAUCAAGGACGACGAUAAGAGUUUCUCUGUAAGGUCGACCAAGUCUUCGACCACGACUUCCGGUCAUCGCCUGCGAAGUCUGACGUUUACGGCUUCUUGCUGGCCGAGAUCUCGGGAGUGAUACGAUUCGCAAGUGGGUCGUCAUUGGAUCGAAUAAGGUAUCCUCCCAGGUGAGUAGCGCGCGAUGCGGUUAAAGUUUAUCUAGCAUCCUAACGCGUUAGUGUAAAUUAACCGUCCUGGAAAAAGGCAUCGCGAAAACUAUUGUUCAUCCGUCGUAAAUCAAUACUCGAUCCUCUCAGACCUUCCAGCGGCCUAUAUCGGCGCCGUUAACUGACAUUACAACGAUGGCGAGCUCGCGUGCAGAUAAAAUCGCGACAAUUAGCAUACGUGAGGUCAGUCGAUGGAUUCAAUGAGAAAGAGGUACGACGGAACGUCACACCUGCAAUGUCUUGCACUCGUUGUGACGAACUGCACCAAAAAUGUUCGAAAGCCUGGCAAUCUGUUUGCCAACGAACCGUCAACCGUCCACGUGAACUAUCUUGAUGACUAACUCCAUCCCUGGGACGUAGAACUGGAUCUUUAAAGAAUUCAAGAUGAAACCAGACGUUUACUAUGCGAAUGAUCAUGUAAAGCACAUCGUAAAGAUUGUAAUAUUCAAGAACAUGCUUGUCAUAAAAUUGAUUCGAGUAAAACGAGCAAAGACAAAUAAUAAUAAUAAUACUAUAGGAGGUAUCGGCAUGCGUUUUGUUUAUCCGCCAUAAAUUCUCCAAGAUACUACUCGAUACAUCUGCAAGAUAAGGCAAACGAUAGCGCUACGUUAUACAAAAUUCAUAAGUGUGAUUUAUUGCAUGUGCAGCGUAUUGCAUUCUCCCGUCGAUAUCUAUAAAUAUAUUACAGAAAUUUCUGACUCGUUUAUAUUGUUCCACCAAUUAUAUUUUCAUUAAUUACACGUUUCUAAAUCUUAUUCAUUCUUAUUGAUGGUAUUAAUUCAUUCUGAUUACUUGAUUUAUUAUCUAUUAAGUCUUUAAUUCUAGAUUUUUAUUCCAGUUAUUUUAUCUUCUUUUUCCAUAGGAGCGCUGUUUCCUUUUGUUCAAAGAUUUACGAAUUUAUAUUUUUGGACAGAGGCUUGCCAAGGUUGGGACGAAAGUUAUACGAGCUAACGCAUAUAUGCUCUAAAUUGAGAACCGAAGAGGAUUAGGGUGUGUUUAAGGCGAGGCGGCUGGUUUUCAUUAAAUCGACUCCUUAAUGCUUGACACGAGCAGUUCCGAUGCUCUCAGGAAUCAAUGCAAUCAUUAUGAUCCAUUUUCGUACAAUUACCAGACCUCGGAGAUGGAAAAACGUCCACCGCCGUCUCGUCCGCGCGUUUCAGGGCAAUGUGGUUCAUCGACAUUGAAGAACAAUUAGAUUUCCGCGAAAAAGACGUCCCUACUGGGACGAAGAUAAUUGCUGGUAAUGACCUGCGUGUACACGAUGAAGACAACUUGCUGGGUGAAAUGUAGAACGCAAUAUCACACACGCAAAGAAAUACAUUCUUAUCAAAAGCAUUCUUGUCUCGCAGAAAAACAGAGUUGACAGUGGAGUGCUCGCGAAAGGAGUGGUAAUGAUGAUGAUGAUCCUGUUAUACUAUUUCCGAGAAUGUCCAUACGUGGGCUUUGGUUCACACGCACGCGCACGCAUACAAAUCACUCAAGCUUUCAUAACAUAACGCAGCAAGUUGAUUCAUUGAGGAUGUUGAUAAACGAAUUAAAUUACUCUCGUACAGAGAAUCGACGGAGGCGUACACUGUAACGUUUUGAAAUGCAAAUUGGCAAUUCGAUCAAUCCGUAACACAAAACGAUUCAUCCUGUAUGAUCAUUUUUAUAUCUGCUUGUGAUUAAACAGCAGACUGACUCACGAGAGAGAAAUAGGUGUUCUCUAAGAAUUUUUACAAGAGAAGUACAAGACCCAUUUAUUUGCAGGACCUCUUGAAAUAUGGACCACGAUAAAUCGAUUUGUGAGUUGGUAGAAUAUAAAUUUCAUAAAUCUUAAGCAUUAGAAACCUUGUUAUAAAAGGGAUAUUUAUAUAUUUAUGUUUGUCACAUAUUAAUUUUAGCCAGUUCUUUUUAUGUGUUAAUGUAAUAACCUCAAUUCCAAUGCAUAUUUACAUAUAUCAUAGAUGAUUAUAUAAUAAAACAAAGAGUUGAAACAUAAAUGAGUUAGUGAUAGCUUAUUCGAGACCGCAAAGUUAUUAUUCGGAAUGCGAGAAAUAUUUGUUCUUAAUGAUGAAAUUCCACCGUGUAGAAUGUUUGACUAUUAAUUUCAGGUGGCUCUUAACGGUUUCUUUACUUCCUAUGGACGUUAUGCAAGAAUACGUUCUAGCUCGGCAUUGUCUGCAUAGCAGAAUAUACGGUCUAUGCACGCUUCCUUGUAAACCGUUAAAUUUGCAGCCAAUGAUUCUGCACGUUCGAUUGAACGCCAAGAGAGAAUGCUGCACAAAUAUGGGGGUAAAGACAGCAACUUGUCAAUGUAAUAGGAACGCAGUGAGAAGGCAGGAAAAGAUUGAUGCGUACAAAUCGUACGCGGAGAAUUGUUAAAUGAAAUGCAAUCGACUCGCGUUUGAUUUAGUCGCGUCAAUCAAGUUAAUUUAUUUAAGAUCUCAAUCACCUUUAUGUGGUUCUCUUCAGAAGACACAAACUGCGAUAUAAUUAAAUAAAAAUUACGUAAUUAUUUGAUAUAAUUACACCUUUGACAAGCUAUAUUAUAUAUUAUGUAGUCUAACUUUUCAAGACAACAAAUCUGUCAUACAUAUUUUUCUAUAUCAAUUUAGUUCUGUUUUUCAAUAUAUACUCUUCUCGAAAUAUUAGCUUAUACAUUAUUCAUAUAAUAAAGCUUGGCAUAGCAAUAAUUACGUAAAACACAUUUUUACAAACAAGCUAACAAAGUAACUGAUUUUUGUUUACACUAAGAAAUAAAAUAAAGUAUUAUAAAUAUUGUUUGUUGCUUCAAAUGGUUGAGUUGUGAAUUAAAGUUAUAUUAUAAAUAAAUCUUUCAUUCCUAAGUAUA